CACGGACGAACGCUGGCGGCGUGCCUAACACAUGCAAGUCGAACGGACUGAUUCGCUUCGGUGAUGAAAGUAGUGGCGGACGGGUGAGUAACGCGUGAGUAACCUGCCUUCAGAGGGGGGAUAACGUUUGGAAACGAACGCUAAUACCGCAUAACAUAUCGUUGUCGCAUGGCAGUGAUAUCAAAGGAGCAAUCCGCUGGAAGAUGGACUCGCGUCUGAUUAGAUAGUUGGCGGGGUAACGGCCCACCAAGUCGACGAUCAGUAGCCGGACUGAGAGGUUGAACGGCCACAUUGGGACUGAGACACGGCCCAGACUCCUACGGGAGGCAGCAGUGAGGGAUAUUGCACAAUGGGCGCAAGCCUGAUGCAAGCAACGCCGCGUGAAGGAUGACGGUUUUCGGAUUGUAAACUUCUGUUCUUAGUGAUGAUAAUGACAUUAGCUAAGGAGAAAGCCACGGCUAACUACGUGCCAGCCGCCGC
rnacentral:rRNA from 1 species